rnacentral:sRNA from 1 species
GCUGGGCCUGGUGGCUCAUGCCUAUAAUCCCAGCUACUUGGGAGGCUGAGGCAGGAGGAUCACUUGUGCCCAGGAGUCUGAGGCUGCAGUGAGCCAUGAUUGCACCACUGCAUUCCAGCCUGGGUGACAGAGUGAGACUCUGUCUCUA